UACGGAGGGUGCAAGCGUUGUCCGGAAUCACUGGGCGUAAAGGGCGCGUAGGCGGCUCGGUAAGUAGGGGGUGAAAUCCUGCGGCUCAACCGCAGGGCUGCCUUCUAAACUGUCGAGCUCGAGCACGGUAGAGGCAGAUGGAAUUCCCGGUGUAGCGGUGGAAUGCGUAGAGAUCGGGAAGAACAUCAGUGGCGAAGGCGGUCUGCUGGGCCGUUGCUGACGCUGAGGCGCGACAGCGUGGGGAGCGAACAGG
rnacentral:rRNA from 1 species